rnacentral:lncRNA from 1 species
GUUGCAAAGCCCGCGCCAAGCCCGCCAUUCGGGGAAGCAGGCGCCGAGCUCUUCGAAGGCUCCUCUCACCUCCUUCCGGCAGAGACGCCCAUCGCCGUUCUUGUCGUGCUUCUUGAAGAUCGCCUUCAGCUGGUCCUCGGCAAGGGGUACGUUAAAGGACUUGCGCACCGGGCGUCGAAUGCCUAUGUGUAUUUGUGUCAUUAAUGUGUGAGUGGAAGAGAAAACAAAGGUGGUUGAGGUUAUUAAUUUUGUGUUGUGACAAGGGAAGAUGUAUGUAUAAGGGGCUUAUAUAAGAGUUUUGAUUGGGCUUUAUGGUCAUUUGCAACUUCAUCAUGUGAUAAUAGUCCUACUUAUCUUGGUGGAUGUGUGGCAUUUUUGUGAAGAGUGAUGGAGUAGAAAUAGAAAAUUUAUACAGCUUAUUUUUUGUGCGGUAUGACGUUGCAAAAUGAGUAUCUUUCAAUAUUAAAUAAAAUAUUUAUUAAGAGAUAAUUUUUAUUUAUCAAAAUAUUAUUGCCAGCAGACCUCAUUCUUGUGGUAUUAAUAAUAUACUAGUAUUGACGUUGUCCACGGGCACUACGUAAUAAAAAAUCUAAAAUUACGUUUAUCAUUUUGAUAUUUUCAUCGCUUUAGAAGAACAAAUAAAAAUAAAAAUAAAUAAAUAACAAUCACAAAUAAGGGAAACUUUCAGUAACUCUCAGAAAGGGAAAACUAAUUAAUUAAUAUAAACUAACAUAAGAGAGUUAUUUUUCACCCCUGGGACAUCGCCAUUCCCCUCGAUGUGACCUCCCUUUUUUUACUUUAAUUUUACCCUCAAUUUUUUCUCAAACUUUAAUUUUGUCAUUCAACAAUUUUAUUCAUUUUUAAUACCCUUUAUUCUUUUUUAAUACCUCUUUAUUUUAUUUUUUCUUACUUUCACUUUGGAAAAUUUUUAUAUUAUAAAAAAAUUAUGACCUUUAUUUUUUUCUUUUAAUCCCUGGAUUCUGUUUUUUUCUUUUUACUUCACUUUUAAAUUUUUAUAUAAAAAAAUUAUGAAAAAUUUAUAAUUUUUACUCCACCUUAUGUUUUUUAUAAAAGAAAAAAAUAUGGAUCAAAAUUUUUAAUAUUUUUUUAAAAAUUUUGAUGGGUUGAUAGUUAUAUAUUAUUUGCUUUUAGACUAUUCUGAAAAAAUAAUAAGUAUUUUUAAGUAGUUUGAUUUAUCAUAAAAAAUAUAGAAAACUAAUACUUUUAACGUAUCAAUAAAUUUCAAUAUGACAUAAAAACAUAACUUUUAUCAAUAUCUUCUCCAAAAAAAAAAUUAUAUAUUUUUUUAUAAUUUUUUUAUAUAAAAAUUCGAAAGUGAAGUAAAAAAAUAAAAAUAAAGAAUUAAUGGGUUUAAAAGAAAAUUAAAUAAAGGGUGUUUUUAAAAAUGUAAAUUGUACGCGCCCCCCACCCCCUUCUGAAAAGUUGCCCCUCCCGCUGUUCCCCACCCCUUUCCUCGCGUGUUUUACACGUAUACCCCUACCACACUAAAAUAGUUUUCCACCUUUUUUCCCCAAACCAAAAAACCCUUAAUGAUUUAUCUUUAGCCUUUCGUUUUAAUUAUCCUUUUUUUUCAGCUCAUUUUUGUCAAUUAAAAACAAAAAACCCAACACCCCCCCUUUUUAUAUAUUUUAUUUAAAGUUAUUUUAUUAAUUUUAUUUAUUUUUUAAUCAGUUUUGUUUAUUAUUUGUUUAUAAUUUUUGUAAGUAAUUUUCUUAUUUUUUAUUUUUUAUUUUUUUUUCAAGUAAUCUUUUCAGAUAUUUUUUUUUUUCAGUUACCUCCUUUUUUUUAUGAAAUUUUAUUUCGUUAUUUUAUUAGUUUUCUUGAUUUUUUAAUUUUACACUUUAUUUAUUAUUUUUCUAUUAAUUUUUUUAGCUUUUUUUUAAUUAAUCCCGUUUUUUCAGGCUCAUUUUUUCUAAGUUAACCCCCUUUUAUGUAAUUUUAUUUCGUUCUUUGAUUAAUUUUAUUUUUUUAACCAUUUUUUUUUAUUUUUUCAUAAUUUUUUUUAAAUUUUGCACAUGUCAGAAAACUCCCCUCCCUUUUAAAAUUACCAUCAAACCCUUGAUACAUGUCAGAACAUCCGUCUCUUUUUAAUAUUACCCCCCAACCCUUGACACAUGGUAGAACAUCCGCCUCUCUUUUAAAGUGCCCUCAAACCCUUGACACAUGUCAGAACCUCUCCCUUACUUUCAAUUAUUUCCUCAACCCCUCGACAAAAAAUGAAUUAUAAAUGACAUUCUCUUUUAUAUUUGACUUUGAGGGUUAACUUUUAUAAUUUUUCUAAUAAAGACAAAAUUUAGAGUGUAAGAAUAUAAAAAAAUGAGUGUAGAAACAAAAUUUUUUUUUUGUGUAUUAUGUUAUGUACUCUUCCUUGAACCUAUAGCUAAAUAAAGAAAAAUUUUCGUCCACCGCUUUUUAACUUCUUUAAAUUUUUAUAAAUAACGGACUCUUUAAAAAUGUUACAAUUAAAAUAACAAACAGAUAUGAAAGAUGUAAAAAAGUAAUAUAAAAAAAUAAUUAUAAAAAAGAUUAUUAAAAAUAAUGAAAAAAAAGAAACAAAACUAAAAAACAAAUACACAAAUUAAAAUAAAAAAAUUAAAAAAAGACUGAGAAAAUAAAAACCAAAAAUUGAGAGAGAGAGAAAAUAAAAACAAAAGGAAGGAAAAAGGAGGGGCCAUAAUGGGAUCUUUUUGGGGUGGACCGGGGGGAUUUUUUCAGAGGGGGGCGCGUUAGCAACUGCCCUUUUAAAAUUUUAUAUAUAAAAAAUUAUUAUAAAUUUUAAAAAAAAAUUAACAAAAUAAAAAAUAAAUGGGUAUUAAAAAAAAUAUAUAAAGAGGUAAUGCUGAAAGUUAUGGGAGGAGAGAGAGUGAGAGUAUGAUGGAGAGAGAAAGGAAAGUGAGGAGGAGAGCGGGGAGAGAGAGAGUGAAAGUGAUAUUUUGGCGGGAAAAAAAUAAUUUGAUGUGAAAUUUGAAAACUGUUGGAUCAACUCAAAUUGAUUUUAGCCGUAGAUAGCGAGAGAUAGAUUUGGGAUUCAACGUAGUUGUGAUUUGUAUUAUAGAUACAUCAUUUUUUUUUGUGAGUGAUUUAGGUUUAUAAUCCGCAAAAAAAGUAAUGAUAGAGAAACAAACAAUUAAAACCUCAUACUGGUGUUGGUUAAUUAAACACGGCCUUUCAUUUUGAAACCAAUCAAACACCCAUAAAAGAUAAAAAUAUCAUUCUUGUAAUAUAUAUAUAUAUAUAUGGGAUCCGAUUUGGAGACACAAGUUUAGAUAUUCCAUUCUAGCCCUUGAUUUUUUUUUAAAUCAAAGGCUGAGAUUAGAGGUUAUCAAACCCAUUGAUUCUCACGCACUCCCCUGUCUCUCUUUUUCUCUCUUCUUUCUCUCCCAUUACUAUAAUGUCAGGCCAUCUUUUAGGAAACAAAUACCCACCAACUAGAGAGAGAAGCCCCAAUUUUUGUUUCAAUAUUGGAUUGUUCUGCUAUUCAAGCUUAAUGGGUCUUGUCCACAUCCAAGUCCCUUGACCUCUUUAUGGUGAUAAAUAAAUUAUAAUCGAGGCCAAUUUUACUAAAAUAAUACCGGUGAUUGUGAAGGACACAAAAAAAAUAAAUUUGGUGGGCAGAUAAAAAUUACGGCUUUCUUUCGUAUAUUUUGCUUGUUUGUGAUGUGUUGUGUUGAUCAUGGGUUUUGUGAGGUUUGGUUGUUUGUCGCUUAUUGAGGGCCUUGCGAUUCUUGCUGAGAAAAAAAAAAUAGAGCGAGAAAAUGCGAGAAAGUAGGGGAAAAAGCUUGAGAGGCAUAUGUUUUUUUCUUAGGAAUGGAGGUCACAGAGUUGUAGAGUGAGAGAGAGGUCAUGGAGGUGCUGCUGGGAGUGCAUGAGAAUAAGUGGAUUUGAUAACCUCUAAUCUUAGCCCUUGAUUUCAAGAAAAAUCAAGAAUUAGGAUGGAGUGUCUAAACUUGGGUUUUCGGAUCCAGUUCAUAUAUGUAUAUAUAUAUAUUUUUAUAUUUUUUUUUGUACGAAUAUCAUCUUCCUUUUGUAUUGAGUGAUUUCGGUUCAGAAUCCAUGCAAAUAUAACUGAUAGUUUCAUUAAUAUUCAAAAUAGAGCACCCAUAAACAUCGUUCUAUUUAUAAAAGUAGUAUCGUCAUAUCAUGGUAUUUUUUACGUAAAUUUUAUAUAAUAAUAUAGUUUUCCAUGCAAAAUAGAGUGAAAACUAAUGUUAUACAAAUAAAAUAUUGUAUGGAAUCCCAACUAUAUUAUAGCCCAUAAUUUCAAAAAUAUCAUUGUUACAUCUUGUUGGAUGGAUUUUUUGUGUAAAAAUUUUAAAAUUUUUAAAAGCUUUUAUAUAUCAGGAAGAUGGUAUAGAAGGGUCUCACUUCACAUCUUGCAAUUGUUUCCAUUUUGAUACUUUAGAUUUUGCUUAAAAGAAUUAAUUUUCACUAAAAAAACGUUGUAACAAAUAUCACUUUAUGAUACCACGUUGCAGUCCUGUGAAAAUCAUACAUAGAAAAAAUUCUCAAACAACUACAAAAAAAUUGUUUAAAUUGUAUUUAAUUUGAAUUAUGAAUUUAUAAAGGAAUUUAUCACAAAUGAUAAAAGAUCAAUGAAUAGACUUAGCCUCUUAUAAUUUAUAGCAUCUAGUCCAUGGACCAAAAAAAGAUGCUUAUAAAUUUAUAAUUAAAUUAAAGUUAUUCUUUCUUGUAUGAAUAUAUGAAAGUUGAUGCGAGCCAAAAAAGAAUAUAUGGAACAAGGUGGAGCUAGGAUAUUAGUUUAGGGGGUUAAAAUCAUAAAAUUAUAUAUAAUUAUGUGAUAAUAGUGUAAAUUUUCUUUUCAGUGGGGUUAAAAUUAUAUUGGUAGUGUAUAUUUUUUUUUCAAUGGGUUAAUAGUGUAAUUUUUUUUAAAGAAUGAUAGUGUAAUAUUUUUUAUAGUAGGCUUAAUUGACCCCACACCCAUGAUUGUGCCUCUCCACUGUUGAUAUGGGAAGUUGACCGGGAAACUCUACAUGUUCAAAAAUAAAGAGGUUGUGACUAUGGCCCCGUUUGGUAAUGCUUAAAAGCCAAGUUUUUUUAAAAUUUAUUACUAAAAAAGUCAAGAUUUUUUGACUUUUUUGCUUUUUUGCUUUAUUUUAGUUACAAAUAAAUAAAAAAGCGAAAAAAACAACUCUGACUGUCUUUUUUGUUUAUAAGUUUAAAACAAAACAACCGAAAAACUGAUAUCAAACGGAACCUAUAUAGCAUCAAUAUUGAUCUUUCAUAUCCAACCAUUUCCUCUUUCAAGUUGCAAAGCAUCAAAAUAGACACUUUAUACGUAUCUCACUUUAUGCGUAUCUCUUAUCAAAUCUUGGAGACACUUUUAUGCGUAUCUCUCUCUCUGUGGAAGGGUUUGGAGGGUAGCAAGUCUUGUUCAGUAUGGGUAUAUGUACAACAAGAGGAGGCUUUACAGAUCGUGUUAUUGAGUCGAGUAUGUGUAGGUCUAACCCACGGCUAGUCCAGCGGUUUAAAGAACAAACUUUGGAAUGAACUGUAAAUUCGGACAUUCUAGAUUUGACUUCCUUUAUAGUCAUCUAAACUUAAUUAAUAACUGUAGUUCGCGUGUGAUUGCAAUUAUUCAAAAUUUACUCUACAAGGUGAAUCUAAUAUGGCUAUGAAGAUGUUCCUCCUGGCUUACAAAAAAAAGUUAAAUUACACUAACCUCCCCUGAAGUUCUAAGUUAAUACACAAAGUACCCCUGAUAUUUAAAAAAUUAUAAUUAUCUCCCCUAAAGUUUGAAACUUGUAACAGAUUCUUCUCAUCUUACACUGACCACCACUGAAAUUAUGAGUUAAUACACAAAGCACUCCUGACAAAGUUACUUCUUUUUUUCUUUUUGACAAAUGAUGUUGAUUUGACGUCAGGGUGCUUUGUGUAUUAACCAGAAACCUCAGGGGUGGUCAGUGUAAAAUGGAGAAAUCUGUUACAAGUUUCAAAUAUCAGGGGAGGUCAUUGUAAUUUCUUAAAUAUCAGGAUUUAGGGGUACUUUGUGUAUUAAUCUGGAACUUCAGGGGAGGUCAGUGUAAUUUACCCCCAAAAAAAUGUGUUGCCCCGCCUAUUUUUUUCUGGCUGGGGUGGGUCCCAUGCCUGUCGGGCCGGGCUGGUUCAUUUGUGAAAUGCACAAGCUCAGGCACCCAUGAGCUCUGAGCUCUGGCUUAAAUCCGGCCUUAGUUUUGGGCUUGGGCCAGAAUGAUUCGGCCCAGAAAAAUGGGCCCCUUGAUAGAAGUGGUACCAGAAUGAAAAAAUACUCUAAAAAGUGAAAAUAAUAUAAAAUAAAGUAAAAAUAAUAAAAAUAAAAUUAUUUUCUAAAUCAGCGUUACUCAUUUUAAACACUAAUACCUUGUUUAUUAGAAAUAAGUUGUACGAAAAGUGAGAUAAUUUUCACACUCAAAUUGUAUAUAUAUGACCUCUUCUUCUAUUUCUUUUUUAUUUUGUAGUUUUUGAAAAAAAUAAAAUAAAAACAUAAAUCAAAUUUACAUGCAUGUGGUUGUUCGGUUAUUAUUUUAAAUUUCUUGUAAUUUUCAUCACUCUCUUGCUAAAUAAACAUAGAAAAUAAAAUAUUAUUAAUUUCUUUAUCUUUUCCUACCAUUUUUCUUUGAUUCAAAUCCACGACAUAGUUUAACGAACCGAACUGUGAUUGAACCGGUCAAGGCAUCGGUCAAUGGUCAGUGUUUCAACCGGUUAUAUAAUAAAUAAUAAUAAAAAUAUUUAAAUAAAAAUAUUAAUUACAAUUAUAAAUUGGAUUAAAGAUACUCUUUUUUAUACAAUAUUCAACAUAAGUAUAAAUAAUAAAUACCUAUAAAAGAAAUUCACAAAAAAUAUUUAAUUAUAAAAUAUUUAAGAUGAUUUCUUUUCUUUUUAAUUUUAAUAUUUUUAAACUAAUUACUUAUUGGUAGUUUUAUAUUUAAAAGAAAAAAACAUAAAAUUUGGUCAUAAUAGAAUGCAUUAUUAAGCAUAAUAAUGUGCAAUUAUUUGUUGUUUGUCUUUUUUUUGUUUUAUUUUUUCUUUUUUCCUACUUCCAUUUUUUAUCUUUAUUUUUUAUUUUAUUUUUUAUUUUUACUAAUUUAUUUUUGAAUUUAAUACGUAUCUCGAUAUAUCUAAUAUAAUAUAAUAAAUAUUUAAAUAAUUGAUUUGUACAUUUUUUUUUAAUUGCAGCACUCAAUUUUAUUUUUAUUAAAAAUAAAGUUUCAAAUUACUAUCUCAAUAAAAUAAUACCAAAAUCAAAAUCAAAAUACAAAAAAAUUAAAAAUUAAAAACCACUAGGCCACUAAAUAUUUGUGUUUUUUUAAAGAUAUUUUGUUGUUUUUUUUUUUUAUUUUUUUUUUUCAAAAACCGCCGGUUCACUAAAUCACCGGCCGUUUUCAAUUGUUUUUUAAAUACCGGUCGUUUCGGCCGGUUCAAUCCGGUUCAUCAUUUCCGGUAUUUUAAUUAAACCGUCCCCCGGUUCACUGUCCGGUUCCCGGUUUCAAUUCGAUUGUUAUAACUAGGCACAUGACCAAGUUAAGAUAAGUUGUCAGAACUACAAGCUGUCAGAAUGGACAAUGUUGUGAAUAUAUGCACAUAGAUAGAGCAUCUUUUAUACUUCUUUUCUUUUUCUUUUGGUGGAAUCUUUCCUAAUUUCUACCAUGCUUUUCCAAAUCUUCAUUUACAUCCCAAGGUUUCCUGAGAGUGAAAUAGAAUUCAAUCAUCUUUAUUCUCAAAAAAGUUAGUUUCUUUCCAAAUUUUUUUGCAUUAAUAUAUAUAAUUCAAAGGAAUGGUUUAAAUCAGGGACAAAGCCAGAAUUUAAGUUUAAUGGGGUCAAAAUUUAUAAAAUUUAUGUUCCGGGGUCACAAUUAUAGAAUUUAAGGCAAAUUACUAAUUUUUUGUGGGGUUAAAAUUAUAAAAUUUAUAGAAUUUAAGGCAAAUUACUAUUUUUUUUGGGUUUAAAAUUGUAUUUAUGAUAAAUUAUAUUAGGAAUAGUAGUGUAAAUUUUUUUCCAGUAGGAUCAAUUGAUCUCACUUGCCUUAGUGUGGCUCUGCCGAUGGUUUUUAUUAUAACCUUUUGAUUGAACUUAAUUAGGUCAAGCUUGUGGAUUUACAAUCAUUAAUCAAAGAUAAAUGGAUCAAAAAGGAUAUUACUAAUUUAAGAGAAAAACUACGGUCUUAAAAUUUGGACCAAUAAAAAUUCUCAGAAUUCAAAAUGAAUAGUUCAAAUUCACUUUAAAUGUUUGAAUCUCACAUCACCAAGUAAAUUUGAAUCAUUCAUUUUGAAUGCUAAGAAUUUUUUCGUGUCUAAAUUCUGGCACUAUGGCAGUAUUCUUAUAUCCUGCUAGAUCAUGCAUAUACACGGAUUUCUAACUUUUUUCUUUUUAAAAAAAAGAAGAAAUAUACAUAAAUUAUAUUGAAAUUAUUUUCUAAUACUUCUCAACUAUAUAAAUUAAUAAUUGUUUCCCUAAGUAAUUACAAAAGUGAACUUUUGAUAAUGUGAAAACUUGGUCUUUUGUUUUGGGAUUUAAAUUCCCGUUGUUUUCUAAAAACAGUAAAUUAUAUUCAAAAAAAAUUUUAAAAAUCGUCAACCAAAUAAAAUUUCACAUAAGAUCACAUCUUAUCAUUAUCACAAUAGAAACUAAUUAGGACCUAAUCGUAAACAAACGUACAUGCAUACACAUAUGGAAAGGUACACCUUCGAAUCCAUUCCCUUAUUUAGGAAGGUACAACACAAGAAAGCUUAGUGGUUAUUUUAUUUCGUUGUUUAUUUCUUUUAUGGGCUAGUAUUUUCGCCCAGCCUAGUCUGAGAGAGACUAGUUAGGUGACGGUGUAACCAAGCUGCACGGCAUACUUGACGAGUCCGUUCAUCUCCUCCUCGUUGAUGAAGCCGUCCCCGUUAGUAUCGGCAUUACGAAGUGCCAGCCAAGCCCGCAAUUCGGGGAUGUAGGCGCCGAGCUCUUUGAAGGCUCCUCUCAUCUCUUUCCAGCAGAGACGCCCGUCGCCGUUCCUGUCGUGCUUCUUGAAGAUCGCCUUCAGCUGGUCCUCGGCAAAGGUACGUUAACGGACUUGGGCACCGAGUGUCGCAUGACUCUGUCUGUUAGUGUCAUUAAUGUGUGAGUGGAAGAGAAAACAAAGGGGGUUGAGGUUAUUAAUUGUGUUGUGACAAGGAAGGAUGUAUGCAUAAAGGGGCUUAUAUAAGAGUUUUGGUUGGGCA